rnacentral:rRNA from 1 species
CCCUUAGAUGCUCUGGGCCGCACGCGCGCUACACUGGUCGAUGCAACGAGUUUCUUUCCUUGGUCGACAGGCCUGGGCAAUCUUUGAACAUCGAUCGUGAUCGGGAUAGAUUCUUGUAAUUUUUGAUCUUAAACGAGGAAUUCCUAGUAAACGCAAGUCAUCAACUUGCAUUGAUUACGUCCCUGCCCUUUGUACACACCGCCCGUCGCUCCUACCGAUUGAACGAUCCGGUGAAAUCUCAGGACUGAGAUUGAUUAACGGUUCGCCGUUACCAGUUUCGGGAAUUUGCUUGAACCUUAUCGUUUAGAGGAAGGAGAAGUCGUAACA